rnacentral:ncRNA from 1 species
GGCUUGUGGCAGCGGCAGCCAAGCGGCCAAGCGUUCACAAGCGUUCAUAAGCGUUCAUAGCGGUUCAUAGCGACUAGCGACGUUGCUUUUUGAUCCUUCGAUGUCGGCUCUUCCUAUCAUUGUGAAGCAGAAUUCACCAAGUGUUGGAUUGUUCACCCACCAAUAGGGACGGUGAGCUGGGUUUAGACCGUCGUGAGACAGGUUA